UACGGAGGAUGCAAGCGUUAUCCGGAUUCAUUGGGUUUAAAGGGUGCGUAGGCGGAAUAAUAAGUCAGUGGUGAAAGCCUGCGGCUUAACCGUAGAAUUGCCAUUGAUACUGUUAUUCUUGAGUAUAGUUGAAGUGGGCGGAAUGUGUAAUGUAGCGGUGAAAUGCUUAGAUAUUACACAGAACACCAAUUGCGAAGGCAGCUCACUAAGCUGUUACUGACGCUGAGGCACGAAAGCGUGGGGAGCAAACAGG
rnacentral:rRNA from 1 species